UACGAAGGGGGCUAGCGUUGCUCGGAAUGACUGGGCGUAAAGGGCGCGUAGGCGGCGCGGUAAGCGUGCGGUGAAAGCCCGGGGCUCAACCCCGGGUCGGCCGUGCGGACUGCCGGGCUCGAGCACUGUAGAGGCGGGUGGAAUUCCGGGUGUAGCGGUGGAAUGCGUAGAGAUCCGGAAGAACACCGGUGGCGAAGGCGGCCCGCUGGGCAGUGGCUGACGCUGAGGCGCGACAGCGUGGGGAGCAAACAGG
rnacentral:rRNA from 1 species